AUGGGGGGAGCUUUCCUACCAAGUUGGCCUAGCCUGUCUGAGCUUCAGUUUCUUCAUGUGGAAAACGAUGAUGUCACUGGCGGCACGGUGCGGGGUGCAGAGGAUGCCCGCAUAAGAUGCACCUCCCGCAUGACCCCUCCGGCCAGCCGGACCCCUCAGAUGAGAGCUGCGCCCAAACCAGCACCAGCCACUUAGCCACUAGCAGCGGCACCCACCUCUGCAGUUGGGUCUGCUGUCCCAGAUGGCAACUACUGCAGCUGGUGUGGCUGUGGGCUCUGCUGUGGGGCACACACUGGGCCACACCAUUACUGGUGGCUUCAGUGGAGGAAGUGAUCCUGAGCCUGCAAGGCCUGACAUCACUUACCAGGAGCCUCAGGGAACCCAGCUGGCACAGCAGCAGCAGCCUUGCUUCUAUGAGAUCAAACAAUUCUUGGAGUGUGCCCAGAACCAGGGUGACAUCAAGCUCUGUGAGGGUUUCAGUGAGGUGCUGAAACAGUGCCGACUUGCAAACGUAUUGGCCUAAUCAAGAAAGUACAAACUGGAGAAAUGGAAAACCAGCUCUCAUAACCAAGUUAACUUAAUAUAAAAGUUUAAUUAUAGUGAAGGUAUAAAGUGUAGCCGUCAGUUAAACCUCUCCUGUCAUUCCUAGCUUCCUUGCUUCAGAAUUGAAAUGGAAGGGGGUGUUCCUACUCUGUAGAAUUUGGAGUUGGUCAAAUGUUUGUGUGGCCUCCUUAAACUAGCUGUUAUGAUUUUAUUCUUUGUGAGUUAAUUAGAAUAAAGUUAUUUUCUUCCAAAAAAAAAAAAAAAAAAGGCAUUUUGUUCUUUUCUUCUCUGUACCUGCAUCACCCUUUAUCUUUGUGUUCCUAGAAUUUGUGAUAGAAAGAACAAUGUGUAGCCAGUGGAUAGCUUAUGGUUUUUUUUAGUGUAAAUUCUUGGUAUACAGUUUAGCAGAAGCCUCUUCUUUUUUCCUGCAAAAAUUCACCAGUGGGCGGGCGCGGUGGCUCAUGCCUGUAUCCUAGCACUUUGAGAGGCCCAGGUCGGCGGAUCACCUGAGGUCAGGAGUUCAAGAGCAGUCUGACCAACAUGGUGAAACCCGUCUCAACUAAAAAUGCAAAAAUGGGCCGGAUGUGAUGGCACAUGCCUGUAACCCCAGCUACUUGGGAGGCUGAUGCGGUAGAACUCCUUCAACCCGGGAGGCGGAGGUUACAGUGAGCCGAGAUGGCUCCAUUGCAUUUCAGCCUGGGCAACAAGAGCGAAAUUCCCUCUCAAAAAAAAAAAAAAAAUCGUGGCUAACACGGUGAAACCCGUCUCUACUAAAAGUACAAAAAAAAAAUUAGCCGGGAGUGGUGUCAGGUGCCUGUAGUCCCAGCUACUGGGGAGGCUGAGGGAGGAGAAUCGCUUGAACCCGGGAGGCGGAGGUUGCAGUGAGCCGAGAUCGUGCCAGUGAGCCGAGAUCGUGCCAGUGCACUCCAGCCUGGCGACAGAGCGAGGCUCCGUCUAAAAACAACAAUAACAAAAACAAAUUCACUUGUAAUCGCUACAAGUGUUAUGCCUCACGUCUGUAAUUCAAGGCUCGGGCUCCACAAGACAAAAAACUCACUUGAAACUGCUGCUCAUCGUAUAUUAAGGGCAACUUGAAUCGACGCUCCCAGGUUGCAUGCUCCUAGGUUGCAUUCAUCAAACUUGGCCCACAUAAAUUCUCUGCUUAUGUUAACGUUGCCUCAGUUUUUCCUUUAGGUCGACCGUUAUUUCUAAAGUUGUACAAAUGGGUUUAGCUUGCAUUAAAAUAAGGUGUGAGAAGGGCAAAUGAAGCCAGAGGCUCUCAGCACAAUCUUGCAGCCUUCAGAGGCUUCCAAAGGAUAAGCAUUCACUCCAAUAUUCAGCAAGACUGCAGCUCUUUAAGAUUCACAAAGUAUUAACUCUGUUGCUUGGAAUUCCAGAAAGAGGGGAGGAAGCGCCCAAAUAAAGAUAAAAAGAUAAAAGCGAUCAUCCUAAAAUCGGGAGCGCAAGGGAGAAGCUUGAAGCUAUGGGCUCUGAAGCAGGCGUUUCCCAAUCCAGGGCUGCCCAGGUCGGCCGACCAACCAGUCAGCCGCGCCGGCCCUCGUAGCCCAAGAGAGCAGCUCGGCUCCCGCGCCACGUGGCGCUGGGAAGGCGUCCUCCCAGCGCCAGGGAGAAAGAGGCGGAGUCCGGCCUCAAUCCCGCCGGUGUUGUCAUGGGAGUUGUAGUUUUCCUCGCGGGCGUACACGGCA